GUGAGGAAUAUUGGUCAAUGGGCGAGAGCCUGAACCAGCCAAGUCGCGUGAAGGAAGAAGGAUCUAUGGUUCGUAAACUUCUUUUGCAGGGGAAUAAAGUGCGGGACGUGUCCUGUUUUGUAUGUACCCUGAGAAUAAGGAUCGGCUAACUCCGUGCCAGCAGCCGCGGUAAUACGGAGGAUCCGAGCGUUAUCCGGAUUUAUCGGGUUUAAAGGGUGCGUAGGUGGUUUGAUAAGUCAGCGGUGAAAGUUUGCAGCUUAACUGUAAAAAUGCCGUUGAAACUGUCGGACUUGAGUGUAAAUGAGGUAGGCGGAAUGCGUGGUGUAGCGGUGAAAUGCAUAGAUAUCACGCAGAACUCCGAUUGCGAAGGCAGCUUACUAAGCUACAACUGACACUGAAGCACGAAAGCGUGGGGAUCAAACAGGAUUAGAAACCCUGGUAGUCC
rnacentral:rRNA from 1 species